AAAGGGAAAAGAAGUUUUAAAAAGAAAAGAGGAAUCCUAUCCAAACCUAACCUCUACACUAACCAUCCUAGUCGGAGGCAGCCCAACCAGACCACAUUUUCUUCCUCUAAUCAAGCCUAGCCGGCCAGUUUUUCCUUUCCUUGAUCGACAAGGGCAGUGCCCUGUUUUGCCUCUACCCCGUACAGGAGCAUGAGCAUGGCGUGAGCAAUCCCCACCUGCUCCCUUUCACUUUCCUCUCUCCCUAAUCCCCGAGCAAAACCCUAGCUUCACCUCUCCAUAUCGUUGUUGCCCCCUCUUUCCUCUGCGCCGCCGUCCCCUUCUUUCCCUCUUCCACACAGUAGAGAGCAGACUGAAAAAAAAAGCUUCAGUUUCAUCAGAGAAAAACCGCCGCGAAAUCCUCAAGCUCGCCGUCGCCUGGAGCCGCCGUUCGCUGCGCCGAGCGCGGGGAUGGAGCCGACGUGGCGCCCUCCAACUCCUCGCUGAACCGGAGCCGGAGCUGCUUGGGUACGCCGCCGCCGCCGCCAAGACGUACAUGGAGCGCCGCUGUGCACGCCGACGACCUCCGCCUCGCCCCGCCAUCGUUUCCAUCCUCCCCAACCUCUCCGUCGCUGUGCUCGUCGUUGUGUCGUCAGAGCCUCGGCAACGUCAAUCUUUGACGAUCUUUGCCUGCCUUCAUUCAAAGGGCCGAGCCCCUCUCCUCAGUCAUCGUUUGAUCUAGCGGCUGGGUGGUUACAUCUGCACCGAAGCUUUGCUUCUUCCCGGAUAGGAUCGCGAAGUGGUGUGGUGAGAUACGACGAGAUCUCCGGAUGUUCCUCGGCAAGCUUUAACAGGCAAGCAUUUCCCCUAUACUCCUGCCCCUGCAGAAGUCGCUCACCUAUUUUAUUUUGCCUUCUCCCUCAUGCUAUCCUUAAGUUGCGUUCUUGUCACGUGUCCUUUCCACUUGUUACCUCAAGCAGCCCAUAUUGCCACCACCACCUCCUACAGCUAUUGUUUGGUUAUCGGGUCUGCCUUGCGAGUCGUAGGGCAUGCUAGUGCUGUUAUAUCUCGUUACCGUUACCGCUAUCUUAUCGGUUAUCUGUUGGGAAACAUGACACAUGGUUUAUGGAUAUAUAUGUUGAGGGUAUCAUGGUUACUUGUUAAUAGUUGUUAGCGGAGGCAUCGGUGGGUCAGCUGAUCGUUUUGUGACGGCUCACUUGUGUUUCUAUAAACCUAGGACCCCGAGUUCUUGUUAUCUGUUCCGAGACUGAGCGCUCUAACCACACGUGGGUAUGUUUCUGGGUCUCCCCUCGACCACUGCCGGAAUCUACAGCUUUGUCCAGUGGCCACAACUAGUUUGCAAUGUUUUACCAUUUGAUGUUGCGUGCAUGCCAGCCUGUUACUUAUUUAUUUUUGGGAAGCCCUAGGGUGCCUUGUAUCCCUUGUUUCUGGUAUGCACGUAUAGGUCGCGGAGCCGCUGCGAAGUGGUUUAUCGCCCCAGUGUGUGUUUAAACCACCUAGUACGCUGUCGCAAACAGCUAGGUCCGCUUCGGAGAUACGGUCGGACUUCGAUUCGGGUUUAACUUAGUUAGGUGGCUUCCUGGACAUUGUUGUCGUGAAGGAGAGUGCGAGUCGUUAUAUCCACCUGUCGCAAGUGGGUUGAUCGUGCGUGUGGGCACAUUUGGGCACCCCUGCAGGGUAAAAUCUUAUCGAUAAGCCGCGUCCGCGGUUAUGGACGACUUGGAGCUGUAUGACUCGACCAUAGACAACUUACACCUGCUGUUUCUAUCAUAAUAACUUGUGUAGUAAGUUAGCACAACUUUAAUAAUAAAUGGUUAAAACUUGCCAACCGUGUGAGUGCCUUUGUAAGUACUUCCUUGCGAGGGGGGAACACCUCGGCUGUGUUAUGUUUGCAGAGUAUAGAACUACUAGUUUAUGCGCUCUCUCACCUUCUCUGAUAGACGACUGUUGUGGAGUGUCUCUAUAGGUUUUUAGUGCUUGCGCGCUGCCGCUUAACCCCACCAUAUUGCCUAUGACGUUCCUCUUGCGUCCUCUAAGUCCCCUGCAUGCCUCAAGUACAAAGGAUGACUGGUUGACGAAUGCUUAUACGUCUUGAAGUCUUGUUAAGUACGAACCCGUACUUAUUGCUGCUUCUACGGGAUAUAACCGGGCAGGUAUGAAGAUAUGUUCGAUGAAGACGACGCUAGCAAGGUUACCCUUCCGGCUUGGCCUGGGCAGGGUUAUGGACGCCAUUGGUUAUCUUCAGGACUCUUAGUCCAAAUUUGUAUCUUGUCCGUACUCGGAUGUAUUUGAUCUUCUGUAAGAUUCGGAUCUUUGUAUUGUAUCUAUUUGUAUCUUGACUCGUUGGAGUCGUUCUUGUAAUAUAUGUUUCUUGUGGGUUC